GGAAUUUGUUUCUUUUUUCAGGAAGCAGUAGUAAAAAAAUUUUCCUUCUAAUUUGGGAAUGAUAAGCUCUAUUUGUAACCGAGAUUGUACAGAAAUAGACAAGUUUUAAAACUUUGAGCAUAUUUCUUUUCCUUGGGGAAAUAGAAGGACCAGCCUCUGAAAAAAGUACCAGAGCAGAGAUUCUUUUUGUUUCUGAAAUGCUGUUCAUGUGUCUGGUCGGAGACUGAAAGAGAGGCGAAAAACAUUUGUUAUGUCAAAUUAUGCACUGUUACCCUGAAGAGCUAUUUGGUCUUAAACUGGAACCUCAGGGUGAUGCCUGACACCCCCAACACGAGCAGCCCACUGACCAUCAAUGCAGCGCAAAUGACUGGUUUCUGAUCCUUCUGCAUAAGCGGCUAUCACAGGGGCAUCCCCAGGUAAUCACUCCUUAUCCAUAUCCUUAAGAAUUUAUAGUUGAUAAGAAUCUAAAAAAGCAGAAGCCCAAAGGAAGACAAACAUCCAGGCCUUCUGCUUAUUUUUCAUGUUUUAAUAUUUUUGAGGGAAAUAUUUGAAACAUGGAAUCAUAUAACUAUCCAAAAAAGAUCCCGGAGAAUAUUUAUUGAGCUUUCUCGUUUUCUCACUUUACAGUCCUGUCUGAAACCUGUCGUUAAACUUUAAAAAAAAAUUAUUGUUAUUUAUAAGCUGAGAACACUUUUUGCUUUAUAAAAUGUUGACACUUCAAUGUACUUUUGGAGCAAACUCUCUCUUGUUUAUGGGGAAAAACAUGCCUGAAUGUAUCCCUUAAGACCUAUCUCAUAAUGCAGAGGUACCCCUCAAUUUUCCUUAAGGAAAACUAUUUUUAUUUAUUUAUUUUUUUGUUUUUCUGUCUUUCCUAGGGCCGCAACCGCA
rnacentral:lncRNA from 1 species